rnacentral:lncRNA from 1 species
AGACUGGCUGUACUGACCUCUGCUACCCUAGAGGCUAGCAUCCUCAGGAGGGAUAGCAUCCUCAGGAGGGAUAGAGGGGAGAAAUGACCAUGAAAAAAUUCCCCCUGAGGCCCUCAACAGGCUUCCAGUGGUUGGUUAAUAGGUAUGAGGGUUUGGAAUUGGGGUCUGUUGACAGCAACUGGAAACUGGGCAGUUGUUGUUUUAGUGGUCUCAGGCUUACCUCCUGCCUCUGUCUCCCAGAGCUGGGGUUACAGAUGUUUACCACAUCUGGCCUAAAGGUUCUUAAAUGUUCUUAAUGCUCUGUCUACUUUGGCCACUGCUCCUGCCAGGAUGCUUUCUGGUACUCAUCUGACCUUCAGGGCUCUGGUAAAGAGUGUCCCUGGCAUCAAGAGAGGCAGAAGCACCUCAGAUACAGGUCGAGGAUUGUUGUAGAUUAUUAUGCUCUUCCUGUGUGAGGAUGAGCCAUCACUGUCCCAUACUGUGGCUAGGGAAGGGCUUGGGGCAGCUCAGCCUGGCUCUGACCCAGGACAUUCCCAGAUUGUAGCAACAUCCUGCUGUGCUUAGGCACAGGUAAAUUGCAGGAAGGAGCACAAAUGGCCCUUUGGGAGAACCUAUGUAGUGAGGUGACAAAUGGGACAAUUCUUGUCAACAACUUCUCUAUUGACCCUUCAGUGCUAAGGACAGAUGGUACCUGGAUGCCUGUGAGCUAGAGACCUGUGACAAGGAACAGCCAGAGCCUGCACUGAGGACUAGGCUUACAGAGCCCUGGGCUGGGGAGUCAUGGUGUCUAUAGGCAAGAGCAAAUAUACAUUCCUUCUGAGUAGAAAACUGUCUUGAGACAGCCGAGCAUUGGAUGUCAGAAAAGCUGGAAGGCCUUGUGACCUCCGAUGCAGAUGUGGGUAUCCUAUGCACACCUCCAACCCUUGGUGUCAGAGAAACUGAGUAAUGGAAGGUAAAUGUCCCCUGCAGGAGAGCUGGAAGCAUACAGGGGCAUGGAGCUCCCUGGGGACAGGGCUGGGCUGGGAGACAGGAGACCUACCGCAGCUGCCCGCUUCUUUGGGUCUCGUCUCUUUCGACAGGCGAUGUCUGAGAUUCCAGGCAUUCCUGAGUUCUUUGGCCAGCUCGUUGCCUGCAGGGCCUCUGUCUUCUUCUGAUGCUGCUCCUGGUUCAAGGAGGCUGACAUGCAGGGUCCUUCCUCUGCAGCUAAAUGGUCUGAAUGGGGCCCCUCCUGCUCGCUGGAACUCUCUAAAUCCUCAACAGUUGAAAGCCUUUUUCUGAAGGUGGUUGUGGAACUGAACCCUGACAGCUGGGGAGACCCUUUAGAUAUCAAGGACCAGUGGCUUUGGAAGUUUCUUCCGGGGGGCCUUGGGCUCCAGCCCAUAGCCAUCUCCUGUGGAGUGCUAUGAAUGGCAGGUUUCUUCCAGUCUGGCGUCUUUGUCACUAGAGAGGAGCUGAAUUCAGGAAUCUGGAGAUAAACACACAUAUCUUUGUUCUAGACAGUUGCAGCACCCUUCAUGGGAACAUAGUACAUUCUCAUCCAAGCACAACCACUCAGAGACUCGUACCCAGUGACCCUAGAGAUGGGGACACUAAGCACUGAGGGUCUGCACCCAUGGCUGGAGACUCAAACCACAGGCAUGAUGAGACAUGUCUACCCCCAAUCCCCACCAUUGCAUUGAUGGUUAAUGGACAUCUCAGUGAGCAACAGUCAAAGAUGAGUCUCAAAGAUAGGGUUGAAGCACAGAGAACGUUCUAGCAAACUGCCUUCCUGGAGGGGAGGAAGGCAGCUAAAUGUUAUCAGUGAAAUAAUCUUAAUACAGAAAUCCCAGCAUAAAAAGACAACCCUUUGUGGCAAAUUGAUGAACAGGGGAAGGCAGUUGGGUCGGUGGCACUAGCUCAGUGGUUCUCAACCUGUAGGCCACAACCCCUUUGGGGGAGGUAGUAGAAAGACUCUUUCACAGGGGUUACCUAAGACCAUUGGAAAGCACAGAUACUUACAUUACGAUUCAUAACAGUAACAAAAUUACAGUUUUGAAGUAGCAACGAAAAUAACUUUAUGGUGGUGGUGGUGGUGGUGGUGGUGGUGGGAGUCACCAUAACACAAAGAGUUGUAUUAAAGGGUCACAGCAUUAGGGAGGCUGAUUGCUGACUGCUGGAGGUACAUGGGCCACGCUGUAUUUGGUUAUAAUACGUAAACUCCGAAUUUCUCCUCCAGAUUUAACCAAAGAUACUCCUGCAUGCACACCCCUUUCUUAGACACUAAUGAUGGAUGCCCCAGCCUUCGUAUCUGUAUGUCCUACACCAGUGGAUUUAACUUAGUACAGGUAGAAAAUAC